rnacentral:miRNA from 1 species
GGCCGGCAGGGCCGGGCAGGGCACACUCCGUUAUCCAAUCCGGCGUCCGUGCACGCAGCGCACACCAUGUAGGCCACAAGAUCUCAGAUAGCUUAUGUCACGGUGGUGGCAUAAGCUACCAGUACCAGCUGCAUGCCUGUGCUCUUCUUCACUUGGAGGCUUGGAGUGUGCCCUCGGCCAUGGCCCAUGGGCGCGUAAGUAGCACCCGAUGGAUCCGGCGUUGGCUAGCCAUCUCCAUCCUCCAUCAAGCUGCAGCUAGCUAGGCUACUUGGGUUCUUGAGGAAGAUCUGGGUGAAACGGCCAUGGCCGGCCGGCAGGGCCUCGUCCACGGCGGCGGCGGCGGCAACUUUUCACCUCUACUAAGGUAGGGCAACUUCUAUCCUUUGGCAAUUGUAACUUCUUGAUCGGGGGCGUGAUGAUCUCUCUCCUGUGAGUACCGGUGACAGAUCAUAGCAUGGUGCGAGUCUUCAGCGUCGUGUAACUACUAGUAGCUAGCUAUACCAAAUUGAUAUGAAGCUAGCUAGUGGUAACUAGCAUGGGUGUGUGUGUAUGAUUCUGCUUGAAUACUUCGAUUCUGCUAUCUAUGGGCAGUUUACUUGUUGAGUUUUGUAUCUGGUAAUAUAUCUCUUUCGUUAACCCCGGCCCUAGCAAGUUGUCGACUAGUGUACAGUCGAUAAAUCAAUAUAAUUUGAUGUGUGUGCAAAAAAAAAAAAAAAAAAAAAAAAAAAA